CUACGGGGCGCAGCAGUAGGGAAUAUUGGACAAUGGGCGAAAGCCUGAUCCAGCAACACCGCGUGCACGAUGACGGCCUUCGGGUUGUAAAGUGCUUUUAGAGGAGAUGAGAAAGGACAGUAUCCUCUGAAUAAGCCUCGGCGAACUACGUGCCAGCAGCCGCGGUAAAACGUAGGAGGCAAGCGUUAUCCGGAUUUAUUGGGCGUAAAGCGCGUGCAGGCGGUCUAGCAAGUUGGAUGUGAAAGCUCCCGGCUCAACUGGGAGAGGUCGUUCAAUACUGUUAGACUAGAGAAUAGGAGAGGGAGGUGGAAUUCCGGGUGUAGUGGUGAAAUGCGUAGAUAUCCGGAGGAACACCAGUGGCGAAAGCGGCCUCCUGGACUAUUUCUGACGCUAAGACGCGAAAGCUAGGGUAGCAAACGGGAUUAGAUACCCGUGUAGUC
rnacentral:rRNA from 1 species